ACGCUCGACACCUACGGGAGUCAGCAGUGGGGAAUAUUGCACAAUGGGGGAAACCCUGAUGCAGCGACGCCGCGUGGAGGAAGAAGGUCUUCGGAUUGUAAACUCCUGUUGUUGGGGAAAAAGNGGAUGGUACCCAACAAGGAAGUGACGGCUAACUACGUGCCGGCAGCCGCGGUAAUCUGAGCGGGCUGGCAAGGC
rnacentral:rRNA from 1 species